AUGGGGCGAAGUUGGAAGUCCUCAAGAAGUGCAGCGCUUCCUAGACUUCACUCAUCCUGUGAAAUCGAGACGUGCUGGCUCUCAGUGAUGCUUAGACGGAAAACCACGCACCCCACACAGAGGAUGGAACCAGCCACUUCCCGGUUGUCCUGAGGAGCCAUGAUUUCUCCAGGAGCUGGGUAAAGGGCACAGGGAUCAGCCUCUCAAAGGAUUCCAGCCGGCUGUUCCAAUCCAGGAGGAAAACUGUGCCACCGAAAUCUCUCAGCACCUGUGCAGUGAAGUGCCACUUAAACCUGAUGUGAUGCACAGACCUUGCCCUGGCUGUCUGCACAGGGCUGAAUUUCACCCCGUCAGAGUGUAUUCUAAGGGCCCCCCGUGCAUCAUAUGGGCAUUCUUGGGGGUGCAGAUGGCAUCAGACCUGCACCUGAAUAAAUAAUAGGGAAUGAAAUAUGCAGACACUAAAGUUCUGCAGCCAAAUUCUCAGAAACCUUCCUCUUCCAUGUAGGAUCAGGAUUUUGGUUUGAAUUGAAUUU